rnacentral:tRNA from 1 species
GGUCUCAUGGUGUAACGGUUAGCACUCUGGACUCUGAAUCCAGCGAUCAUGAGUUCAAAUCUCGGUGAGACCU